rnacentral:lncRNA from 1 species
CAGCACAAUGCCCAUGAAACCUUGCGCUUGUCCCCAUUUUACAGAAUGAGGAAGUGAGGCCCAGGAAGGCUGAGGAACCUGCUCAAGGUCACCUUGCUGGGAAGUGGUAAAGCCCCGUUGAGUGCUCUGGAGCCAGCCAGGGGCUCCGUGGGUGGGCCCUUUACCAGGUCACUGUCAGCAUCAAGAAGCUAUGGGGGGGACUCCAGGACACCACCGGGAGGGUCCAACUGUGUGUGCCCCUCCUGGCACCUCAGUCCCUUUACUGGGCAGACCCUGGGAAGGGACAGCAGCUGGGAAGACCUGGAAGGAUUGAAACUGUCCUCCACACGGAGAUGACCUGGAACCCAAGCCAGCCCAGGUCACCAGAGAGCUAUCCUCAGCCACCCAAAUCCCCCUCAUCCAGACUCCCGACAGGCUCCUUCCCCACAUCCACAGGUCACUCUCCUGGGCUUGGUACUUGUGCAGUUAACGGUCCUGGAACUCAAGAGAUGUGAGCAGACGCUAAAUCGGGCCAGUCCCAAGGGGUUGACCAGCCAGGCGCGGUGACACAUGCUGUGAUCCCAGCGACUCGGGAGGCUGAGGCAGGAGGGUUGUGAGUUCAAACCCAGCCCCAGCAACUUACUGAGGC